rnacentral:rRNA from 1 species
AAUCAACGCUGGCGGCGUGCCUAACACAUGCAAGUCGAACGCGAAAGCCCUUUCGGGGGUAAGUAGAGUGGCGUCCGGGUGAGUAACACGUAGGUAAUCUGCCUUCGGGUGGGGAAUAACCAGUCGAAAGAUUGGCUAAUACCGCAUAAUGCAGCGGCACCUAAUGGUGAUUAGUUGUUAAAGCGGGGGAUCGUAAGACCUCGCGCCUGAAGAGGAGCCUGCGGCAGAUUAGCUAGNGGUGAGGUAAUGGCUCACCAAGGCUUCGAUCUGUAGCUGGUCUGAGAGGACGGCCAGCCACACUGGCACUGACACACGGGCCAGACUCCUACGGGAGGCAGCAGUGGGGAAUUUUGGGCAAUGGGCGCAAGCCUGAUCCAGCCAUGCCGCGUGAGUGACGAAGGUCUUCGGAUUGUAAAGCUCUUUUGGCGGGGAAGAUAA